rnacentral:rRNA from 1 species
AUACGUAGGGGGCUAGCGUUAUCCGGAAUUACUGGGCGUAAAGGGUGCGUAGGUGGUUUCUUAAGUCAGAAGUGAAAGGCUACGGCUCAACCGUAGUAAGCUUUUGAAACUAAGAGACUUGAGUGCAGGAGAGGAGAGUAGAAUUCCUAGUGUAGCGGUGAAAUGCGCAGAUAUUAGGAGGAAUACAAGUUGCGAAGGCGGCUCUCUGGACUGAAACUGACACGGAGGCACGAAGGCGUGGGGAGAAAACAGGAUGAGAUCCCCUGGGUGUCCACGCCGUAAACGAUGAGUACUAGCUGUCGGGGGUUACCCCCCUCGGUGGCGCAGCUAACGCAUUAAGUACUCCGCCUGGGAAGUACGCUCGCAAGAGUGAAACUCAAAUGAAUUGACGGGG